GACGAACGCUGGCGGCGUGCUUAACACAUGCAAGUCGAACGGAAAGGCCCUGCUUUCUUGUGGUGCCCGAGUCGCGAACGGGUGAGUAACCCGGGAGUAAGCUGCCCUUGACGUUGGGAUAACUUCAGGAAUCUGGGGCUAAUACCUGAUAGGUGCGCCUGCUGCAUGGUGGGGGUUGGAAAGUUUCGGCGGUUGGGGGUAGACUCGGGGUUUAUCAGCUUGUUGGUUGGGUAGUGGCUUACCAAGGCGUUGACCGGUAGCCGGCCUGAGAGGGUGACCGCGGACAAUGGUACUACGAUACGCCGCAGACUCGAACAGGAGACAACAGUGGGGAAUAUUACACAGUGGGCCGAAGCCUGAUGCGGCAACGCCGCGUGCGGGAAGACGGCCUUCGGGUUGUGAACCGCAUUAGGCUGUGACGUAGCGGGAGUGACGGUAAUGAGUGAAGAAGCACCGGCUAACUACGUG
rnacentral:rRNA from 1 species